AUGUUCAUAACCCUUUGUUGUCCGACUCUGUUGCCUCCGGGGCGACCCUGCCUUCGGGCGGGGGCUCCGGGUGGACACUUCAAACUCUUGCGUAACUUUGCAGUCUGAGUAAACUUAAUUAAUAAAUUAAAACUUUUAACAACGGAUCUCUUGGUUCUGGCAUCGAUGAAGAACGCAGCGAAAUGCGAUAAGUAAUGUGAAUUGCAGAAUUCAGUGAAUCAUCGAAUCUUUGAACGCACAUUGCGCCCCCUGGUAUUCCGGGGGGCAUGCCUGUUCGAGCGUCAUUUCACCACUCAAGCCUCGCUUGGUAUUGGGCAACGCGGUCCGCCGCGUGCCUCAAAUCGACCGGCUGGGUCUUCUGUCCCCUAAGCGUUGUGGAAACUAUUCGCUAAAGGGUGCUCGGGAGGCUACGCCGUAAAACAAACCCAUUUCUAAGGUUGACCUCGGAUCAGGUAGGGAUACCCGCUGAACUUAAGCAUAUCAAA
rnacentral:rRNA from 1 species